UUUCCCAGUGAUGGUUAAUUUUUUUAAAACCAUGCUAAUGCUGAAAAUCCAGUGAUUAAAUUCAUUCUAUAUAUUCUGAGGGAACC
rnacentral:snoRNA from 1 species